GACGAACCGUGCAAACGUUGUUCGGAAUCACUGGGCUUAAAGGGCGCGUAGGCGGCUUGCCAAGUCAGGGGUGAAAUCUUUCGGCUCAACCGGAAAAGUGCCUUUGAUACUGGCGAGCUUGAGCGAGGUAGGGGCAUGUGGAACUUCCGGUGGAGCGGUGAAAUGCGUUGAUAUCGGAAGGAACGCCGGUGGCGAAAGCGACGUGCUGGACCUUUUCUGACGCUGAGGCGCGAAAGCUAGGGGAGCGAACGGG
rnacentral:rRNA from 1 species